rnacentral:lncRNA from 9 species
AUGGCACAGGACCAGAAAGGCAGCGUUUCUCUGCCCUCUUCCGUUCUGCCAAGGCAUUGUGGUGGCAGGCAGCAGGCCCUCUCGGGCCCCACAGGCACCACAGCGCUGCCUCUGCCCGUGGGCCCCAACGGACCCCACGGAACUCUGCCGCCCCCCACCCCACCCCCACCCCCAGGUGCCCGGCUACCAGGGCAGAGGGCCGUUAGGGCCGGGGGAGGGGGCGGCCCGCCAGGUUCUAGAAAGCCCUGCCCCCCUGAGGGCCCUGCUCCCUGCCCACGGAGCUCCCCCGAGCCGUGCCUCUGGGGAGAGCCAAGGGCCGCUUGCCUCGAAGGCCAGGCAGCGCCCUGCCCUACCCCCUUGUGUGCACACGAGCGCGUCGGAGCAGAGGCCUGGGCUGUGCCCCCGCACCCUGGGUCCGACGCCCUGUCCCGAUCUCAAGGGUCCUGCGGCCCAAGGGAAGCCUGGUCCUCCCGGCCCAGGUCCCGGGAUCUCCCUCGUCGAAGAGACCCUGUCUCUUUCGGGUGUCCGGUCAAUGUUUGAGCAGGGACCGAGCCCGGCAGGGGGUCCCCCGAUGGACCGAGAGACAGGAGUUCAGUCGUGAGAGAUCAGUCAGUCCAACCUGGCAGAGUCCUGCGAGCGCGUGGUCUUUCCGGGAAGCCCGUUGGCCUGCAUUCCAUCCCGGGGUUCCUGGAUGGGGUGGCCGCGGGGACCCGGCUUCCUCUGCAAGGUGGCCCUGCGAUCUCCAGGUGACGGCCUCCAGGCUGGCCCCGGAGACGCCGUCCAGGCCGGCGAGGCGGGCGCGGCCCGUGCCUCUGCAGAGGGGGAGCGGGUCCUGAAGGGCGUCUCCCCGCCUUUGCCUUCUUCGAGCCCCGUCUGCCUCCCCUCGUGUCUCUCCGCGGUCAGGCUCAGAGCCUCGUGGCCCAGCCCCCAGGACGGCGCCGCCGUGGCGGGUUUAAGCAGAGGGCAGGGAGGAGGGGGAGUCAGGCGUGGGAGCCGGGGGAGGGCUGUGUGGACCGUUGCCGUUGCUCGAGGUCAAGUCCAUGGGGGGCAAGUCUAAGGGGGUGGCCGUCGUGGUUGAAUCCAGGGGCUUGAACGCGGAUCCCGGAGGGUCCUCGGGCCCUCCCAUUUCAAAAAGUACGAAAGGGAUGGUAGUCAAGACGGAGCUCCUGUUGUGGCUCAGCGGUCAUGGACCCAACUAGUAUCCGUGAGGACGCGGUGUGAUCCCCGGCCUUGCUCAGGGGGUAGGGAUCCGUGAGCUGUGGUUGCGAUUGCGGACGGGGCUGGGCUCCCGCGUUGCUGUGCUCCCGCGUUGCUGUGCUCAUGGUGUAGGCCGGCAGGUGUAGCUCCGAUGGGAUCCCUCGCCUGGGAACUUCCUUAUGCUUUGCUCGAGGCCCUCGAAAGUCAAAAUAAAUCAACGAAACACACACCCACACACACACAUCCACACACCCACACACACACACACACACCCACACCCCCCCACACACACACACACAGGGACGAUCACCCAUCUGCCCCAGGCUCACGUCAUCUCACCAGAAAAAGGCACAUCUUAUCCUUGGGGGGUCACAGGGACCCCUCUAACUUUUUCUCCAGGGACUCCGCUCUAAGCCCGUUCCUGAGCUUUCUCCUCAGACGACAGAGCUGUGAGAGGAAGGCGGAUUCUGGUUGAAGGGAAGGGAGGGAAGGAAUGGGACAGCCUGACAGACUCAGGGGACCACAGGUGGGAGAGCCCGUCUCUCCUGGCGGGUCCCCACUUGAGGGGGGCCUCUGGGGUGGGCCCGGUUGGGCCCGAUCCACCUUGAGCCCAGUGGGCCCUGGUGUCCGCCUCCAGGCCCUGGGGUAGAGAGGGAAGUACCUCGUUCCCAGCGUCUUUCCAAACCGCAUUCAUGCGUCCAUGCCGACCCCGCCUCUUGCCCCCCUGCCCUCUGCCCUGCGUGCGGGGCUCAAGGGUGCCCCAAGCCCGACCAGGUCCCAGCCCCACAGAGCGGCCGGCUGCCGUCCACUUGGAGGUGCCCUGUAGGAAGAGCCCCUAGAUCCCUGUAGCAGAGAGCCCCGGGGGUGGGGGCUGGUGGCCAGCAGUCGUGCCCCGAAGGAACCGUGAUCGGGAGGGACUCCGGGGAGGGGCCCCCCCCCCUUUCACCCUGGUGGCCAGAGAAGGCUUCCUGGAGGAGGUGGCCUUUGAGCGGAGACUGGGCGACACGGGACCAGCCAUGGGAACAUCUUGGGCAAGGCCAGGAGCCAGAACGGCCAGUGCAGAUGCCCCGAGGAGGGCAUAAGCCAGGGUCGGAGUUCUCCGCAGAAGCCCCCGGGUGGUCAGAGCCAGCUCGGAGAAGGCCUCCCUGGUGCCAAGAGAAAGGCAGGGGAAGGCAUUGGAAGAUUUGGGGUUUGGGCAGGGCGUUGGCCUUCUUUGGCAUGUGUCAAGCCGAAAAACGAACCCCCCCCCCAAAACGGAAAUGCAUGCGGUGCCUGUGAAGUCACGUUUCCCAGGAUCUCAAAUCCCUCUCCUGUGGAACGAAGCUUUAUGGUGUGAAAGGAUCAGUGGGAGACGGCAACGAUGGUCGAAGGCAAAAUGGACCUUUUAUUGACCUCAAAAUACACUCCUUAUGCUAUUUGAAAGCGAGGGCUCAGAAGAAACAGGGAAAGAAGGGAUGCCUCGGAACUCUACUAAAGGGCUCCCCGUGUGAGCAACUCCUACCGAGGCAUUUGAGUGCCAGCCAGACGAACUA